UCUAUAGAUAGCAACUCAUUUAUUCCUGCAACAACCUGCUACAGCCUACAGCUAGGCAAAGGUAGUGGAGUAAGAUAUGUGGGUCCACUAAAUUCGCUUAACAAUUGGAUGAAUGUAGUAAGUAGUAACUAUGAGUUGGUUCGAUCAUGUUGCUCCAUGGAUGGUGAUCUUUGACGCAACAUUUAGGUCUCAGGUGUGAUCCCAAUUUACCUACCCACAGAAAAAAGGGGGAAGAAACUACUAUUUGGUGGAAUAUACAAUAUAUUGGAGUUUUCUCCUAUGCUUUAUUGGCAUGGAGGGAGGGGCUGGAGCUGGCUUGACUUCGUGAUAUUAAGAAAUAAUUUGAGUAUUAAAAAAUUAUGAGUCUUAAUGCUUUCUAAAUGUCCAACUAAGUCUUAAAAAUUGAUAUAACAGAAAAUAUUAAUCCAAACAUGAAAACAUGAUACAACAGUUUCAUGUUUUUAUGUUUUAUUUGGAGAAUUCAUCACUGUUGCUAUGUGCAACAUUUUACUUUUCUGUCUGAGUUACAGUUCAUUUACAGCAACAUGGAGCACCUAUGAAGUCUCCUGGUUCUCGGCUUCAACUCUGAGAUGGUAUGUCCUAAGGUCAUAGGAUCCAGCUGCCUAUUGUGUUUUCUAAGAUGUUUAUGUUUUGCUUAUAAUUUCAAUUGAUGCUUCUGUUGAUGAUUGGAGCAUCGUGAUGCUUUUAUGUGAUUAGAUUCCCAUAGUUCACUAAUUUUUCAUGUUCAACUUGAAUAUAAAGAAAUUGUUGCUU